GUCUUUUCAAAUGGACUGGUACAAAACAAAAGACUGGCUAUGUGGCCGCGCUAACGUUAGCAGUCAGCGACUGUACGGCUAUCGCUGCCCGCUGUUUCAACGACUAUUAUCUAAGAGUUGUCUAGAGAUCUACAGAUUGAGACAAACCGGUGUGCAACCAUACAUUUCCAUGUACUCUCCAUCCUUACUGCUUUUGCCGCACACAGCAAAAGUGUGCCAGUGCCUCAGGGAUGACAGAAACAGCUGCCAGGAGGAUGUUUUACCGAGUGUAUAGCUGUCUGCAGCCCCGGGAAACGGCUCAAGUUCAGCCACAACAUCGAGGGAACUACAAACACUCUGUUGCUGCCGUUACACAGGUCCAGCAGCCCGCUGUGACUGCCCGUGCUGGGGCUUGCUCUGGCUGAGCUCAAGUCUCUUUGGCCACUAACAUUAGUAACUAACAUUAACAUUAAUGGCCCAGUAAAAACACAUGGAUCAGACCCACGUGAAGAUUAUAAAACAGCAAUUACAUUUUGGUUGAAUUUUGGUAUUCUUGUCCACUGACUGACUGACAGGCAUUACACAGGAGUGAAUGCAAUACACAAUAUAACAAAUGCAAUAAAUAUUCCAAACUACUACAACUACAAUAAGAACAUUAGAGAUUGUAUGGACUUAUUUCUUUGGAGCAGGUGGCUCAGAAUUACACACUGACUCUUUAAGUUAAGUUACUCUGUCAUGCACAGAGCACCUUAUUUUCAUUAGAGAUACUGUCAGUGUGAGUUCAACCUGGUUGGCAUGAAAUGGAGGUGGCAUCAGUGGCAGGCAAACAGUGCUUAAGCCCUGGGUGUAAUAAUCCAAACAUAAUGAGAAAAGAGACACGAUCCUUCCCCUCGCAGCCUGUCUUUUUUGUGCAUGUCAGUCCCUUGAUUAGUUCCCUUUGACCAGGUUUGACCAAGAUGUCGCUAAUUUCCCCUUCAAAUUUGCUCUUCUUCCUCUUUUCUAUUUC